UGUGGAUGCUCUAAAUCCCCUAAAACCCCAUUCAAAUUCACAUUAAGACAAAUAAAUCUGAUUGAUUAGAAAAUUAGAAAGGGAAAGUUAGGGUUUACAUAUGUGACUAUUGGAUUUGAAUGUCUUUCUCCCUCUCACGAGAACGAAACGGCGCCGGUGCUCUUUGCAAAUCAUCAUCUCCGACGAAGAACCCGACCGCCGUCAUUAGCGACCGUCUCUCAGCGCUCGUUCCUAUCUCGCGUUCAUCUGGAGCUCCAUCGUCUCUUAUCUCAAUCUCUCGUUUUCUCCGACGUCCCAAUCUCUCUCGGCUCCCUCUCCCGAUUCAAAUUGAAAUCGAUUCUCCCUCUUCUUUUUCGUUUUUUGAUUUCAUCUUCUUAUUAUUCUUUGUCUAAUUUUCUGUGUUACAGUGUUGUCGUAGAUUGUGCGAUGAUGAUCGAUUUGGUGUUCUUGUACACAAAUAUGACGUGGAGGCGAAUGGUUGAAUGAUUGAAGAUGCUGAGAUGUGAUAUGAAGAUGUUGUUGUUGAAAACGAUGAAGAUGAUGAUGAACGCUAUUGUGAUGAUGAACAUUGUUGAAGUUGUAAUGUUACGUUGCAGAGUUUGUGAACGAACUGAGGUUGAAGAGGUUGAAUCUUCAGCAGAAUUGGGGAAGGUCGAUGUUGAAUUUGUUAUUGUUGAUUUCAGUGAUGAAGAUUGUUGGUGUUGGGAAUAGUGGUAUCGUGAAAAAGAUGGAAGAACGAUGAUGAUGAGAAGAUUCAGAGAGAGUCUGAAGUUUGUUUUUGUGAAAAUGGUGAAGAUUGAAGGGAGAGAUUAGAGAUUGAUUUUUCUGGAGAUUUUUGGUGAAUGAUUGAUGAAGAAGAUCAAAAGAGAAUGAAGAUUGGAAGGUUGAUGAACGAAGAGUUUGUUAUAGGUUGGUUUCGGUUUAUUUUGUAUUGGACUUUUCUGGUGUAGAACUAUGCAGGCGGUGGUUCUUGACUUGAAGCAAGCAAGUUGGCUUUUUGAUAUGUAAUUGGGAAUUAUUGAAUACAGAAGCAUGACAUCGGAUUAGAGAAUUAAGAACAAGUUUAUGGCUUUUUGUUGUUGUAAUUUUGUAAUGGGCUUGAAUGAGUGGGCUUUAUAAUAAGUUUGGACUUGAACUUGUAAUGGAUGGACAACUGAUUUUGUAAUGAAUUUUGUAGUGACAUUUGAAUGUUUUUUUGAA